GACUUGGUCCAAAGGUAGUGAAUUCUCUCACUUAAUUGUUCAGUUAUAGAUCCAACUCCUUGUUGUACUCUUUCUCCCCUUCUCACUACUGCGCUUGAUUAGUCUUUA
ensembl:misc_RNA Y_RNA Y RNA